CCUACGGGUGGCAGCAGUGAGGAAUAUUGGUCAAUGGACGCGAGCCUGAACCAGCCAAGUAGCGUGAAGGAUGACUGCCCUACGGGUUGUAAACUUCUUUUAUAUAGGAAUAAAAUGAUGCACGUGUGCCUUUUUGUAUGUACUUUAUGAAUAAGGAUCGGCUAACUCCGUGCCAGCAGCCGCGGUAAUACGGAGGAUCCGAGCGUUAUCCGGAUUUAUUGGGUUUAAAGGGAGCGUAGGUGGGUUGUUAAGUCAGUUGUGAAAGUUUGCGACUCAACCGUAAAAUUGCAGUUGAUACUGGCAGUCUUGAUUACAGUAGAGGUGGGAGGAAUGCGUGGUGGAGCGGUGAAAUGCUUAGAUAUCACGAAGAACUCCGAUUGAGAAGGCAGCUCACUGGACUGCAACUGACACGGAGGCUCGAAAGUGUGGGUAUCAAACAGGAUUAGAUACCCGAGUAGUC
rnacentral:rRNA from 1 species